AGCCGCAGUAUGGCGGGCUCCAGUGGGGUGAUGGACGGGGGCUUCAUGAAACAUGCCGAAUAUACACCGAAAUCCAGCGGGCAGAAUGAGACAGAUAUUGACAAACGCCUUGUCGAUAUGCAUUCCACUUAUGGAGGCCUUUGAGUCAGGUUAUUACGGAAGCUACUAAGAAGUUACCCACUGCGUCAUUUUCUGCAUAUUACAAAGGUGGAUUUUGAGCAGAAGAUGACCAGACGGGAAGCCAGCUUUAUUCUUGGGAUCAGUUCCGACCAGCACUAAGGCAAAGGUACUGGAAGCCCACGGAAGGAUCGUGGUACUAAAUCAUCCAGAUAAAGGUGGAUCCCCGUAUUUGGCAGCUAAGAUCAAUGAAGCAAAAGAUCUGCUUGACUCGGGCCCUCGGCGCUGACCCAGCUGCCCACGCUACCCCAACAGAGAGUUACAUCUACUUCAGUGCCGCCAACUCACCCAUGAGCCUCCACAAGUCAUUGUUCUCCUCCAUGUUUUUCUGCCAUAAAUCAGCCGACUCUCAGCAUAUUGCGCUCCGUUCUAUCUGUCACUGUUCCUCACUGCCACUGUAAUGCAAAGUCGGCAAAGGUUGAUUCUUCACGUUAAAGGAUCUUCACGCUGUCCAUGUGAAAUAUCUCACAGUAAUCUUUAUUAUUUAUUGAGGUGACUUCUGUAAUGUUUAACGUCUGCUGAAAAAUCUGGUGGAUAUAUCAUUUCCAGUGGUCUAAACAGCCCAGAGUAUUUCCCCUAAUCCGCAGGGACCAGACUAUCUAGGUGUUAAGUUAUUUUAGCAUGCUGAAUAAACUGUUUUACAAAUCUGGAAUGACUCAUUGUGAGUAUUUUUGUAUUUGUUUGUACGCUACCAUUUUCCUCCGGCUGUGCUCUGACUGAUGCCUGCGGUACAGAUGCCUGUCUGGUCUGACGGAUCCACGCAGGAACGGAGCGGCUGGGAUUGGACAGACAUUCUGUACACCAUGACUUGGACUGCUGAUUUGCCAUUUGUCAGGCUGAGAUUAAUGCCAAAGACAGGAUACCACAAAACAAGCUGCACAAACCAGCAACACAUUAUGGCAAAAGAAAUAAAAAGCAAGCAACAGUGAAAGAAAUUGCUUCUAUGAUGCAUUUUAUUUCAUGAGAGCAAUGUCGAGCUACAUUCAGAAUAGAGUAUUAGCUUGUGCCUACUGUCUAUUUCAAAAAUAGCUUGUAAAAUGAAGGCAUUAUUACAUCAUAAACAUAUCAAACCAUUUUAUGGUUUGUUACUGUCAUAUGAUCUCAUUUUAAAUGUGAGAGGUGUCCAGUCAUUAUAAUGGAAUGGAAUGGUUGUAA